UUAAAUACAUUGAAGAGGACUAGUAGGAUUUUUAAAGCGAACAGAGAGCUGUUGGUUGGUGCAAAACAGACGUGGAUGGAAUCCGAACUCACCUUGAAGUAGCUCGCUGAAAUGAAACAAGAGUAGGUAGAGACGGAGCCUAACCGUUACAGUAGGAGGAUAUAAGGUUUUAAAAACCCGUAUCUGCUUAAAGUGCAUAUCAAUUUGGUAUGAAUUAGAGUGGUACCGCGUAAGAUGAUAACAGUCUUUCGUCUCUAUU
rnacentral:ncRNA from 1 species